rnacentral:rRNA from 1 species
UACGUAGGGGGCAAGCGUUUGUCCGGAUUUAUUGGGCGUAAAGAGCGUGUAGGCGGCCUGGAAGGUCAGCUGUGAAAACUCGAGGCUCAACCUCGAGACGUCGGUUGAAACCACCUGGCUAGAGUCCGGAAGAGGAGAGUGGAAUUCCCGGUGUAGCGGUGAAAUGCGCAGAUAUCGGGAGGAACACCGAUUGCGAAGGCAGCUCGCUGGAACGUUACUGACGCUGAGACGCGAAAGCGUGGGGAGCAAACAGG